GCCCCUGUGGUGAAAUUGGUAGACGCGCCGCACUCAAAAUGCGGUUCCGCAAGGAGUGCUGGUUCGAGUCCGGCCAGGGGCACCA
rnacentral:tRNA from 16 species